rnacentral:lncRNA from 1 species
CAUGUGAAUCAGGCAUGUUUACGCAUGCUUUUUGAGACUGGGCUCUUUUCAAUUCAUAGAGUGAAAAAAAAACCUGAAGGUUGCACAGUCGUGUAAGAAUCAAUUUCCCUUGUAGCAGGCUAUUUUCCUCUUCUGCUUCAGAGUGUGGCACUGCACCCUGAGGAGCCCUCAUGUGGACAGUCUAGCGAAGAAGAGAGCAAGAUGGCUCAAAUGCUCCUUCUGCGUAAAAUCAACUAGGGAACUUAACAUCAUUGAUACCAGUCUCUCUCAAUGAUGUUUUCUUGAAAGUACUUUUUAUCAGGUCUGGUGACUGAACAGGGAAACAAGGAGACCUUUGAUGGCCCUCAGCGGCAACGAGCAACAGCAGCGAAGGUGCCUGAGGAAUCCCUUGAGUCGCUGCUUCCUCACUGCCUCUGGAGGUGGUGGGUAAGUUUCCUCCAAUCCUCCAUCCAUGAUUGUGUGUUAGGAGUGUUCACUGUUUUGAGCAUUUUUGCAUUUUGAGCAUUUUUUUUUCCUGUGGCCUGGAUCCCCAAACUGGCCUGAGUUGGGUGCCGUGGGACAUAGAGAUAGGACUGUUUCUAGUGACAAGCCUGGUCCGACCCCUAAACCAGACCCGGUGGAGGAUCAGGCCGGGUCCAAUUUACGCUGGAUUGGGUCCAGAAUAAGG